AACUAGCGAAGGGUUAUGCCGUGUAGUGAUAGUGCAGAGUGACUCUGUUACCCAAGGUUGCUGACGUUGUGAGAGAGGUGUUGCAUCCAGCCAGAAGACACCUUAAAAGGUGACAAUAGCAGAUUAGAUGCCCCAAUGGGCUCUUUCAUAAAUUUCUCCAUCCCCUGUAAUUGGCAUUGAACAGGAUGAGUAGCAAAUAAGGUAAAGGCAAUUAUGUCAUUAUUAGUGAUGACAUACAAAUUAUCGUAGGUGAGGGGAUUGCCGAGCCACUCAUCAGCUGUAUGCUUGUUUCUUCACGAUCGAACUCGGGAACUCUUGGUAAUGCCCGUGGUAUGUAGAUUUAGAUUUGCCAAUCCAAUCUGUUUGCGUUUCUAUUGGGUACUAGAGGUGUGUUUAAGUUGUAACAACAGUCAAUCUAGGUGUGGUCCCUGUAUUAAGAAAUUGGGGUUUCAUGCUUAUUCUCUCAGUUGUGUCGUCACUUUUGGCUUUGGUUUUAAGCAAAGAUGGAAGACUAGUCCUAGUCUUUGUAUGUUGUACUGUUUCUAGCUUUGUUCUGAAGGUUGUUGAAGCCUUCGGCCCUUUCUUUCAAUUUUUAAUAAACAUUCUCAUUAUCCAUCAAAAAAACAAGCAAUCCUGGGAGGCAUAUAAGGAGAUGGACAAAGAAGAUCCUAAGCAACAUCACUUAUUUGAAUUUCGGCGAGCGUUGGAAAUUUUGGAGGAACUGGAAAAAAGUGAAAUAGGUUCGCCAAGCUUUAACUAGUGUUGGGAAAAUGGUUGGUUUUUCUUUAUGUGAAGAUGAAGAGGACUUUGAUGUGUUGCUCGAAUUUGUAGAGGAAAGAGAUGCAGAAACAUCAAACUUUAGGCACUCUCCUCAAAGUAUACAUAUAAAGGUAUGUGUGUACUCAUGGGUCUCGAUUCUUUGGUUAAUUAUGAAAAGCAUGGAGGGGGAAUAAGAAAAUGGCACUCAAGAGGGGGAAAUCAAGGGAAGGGAUAACAACAGGCUCAAAGAAAGAUGUUGGUUUGGAAUGUGCAAUGGUUAAGACAUCUAGAUAAUAGGAUGCAAAUUAAAGACAUGAGAUUAUCAGAAGGCUCAGGUGGUAGCUUACAGGAAACCAAGCUUCAGAAUCCAGAAAUUUCUCUUCUUAGAUUUGUCUGGGUGAAAUCUAUUUUGGAGUGCCAUUCUAAGUUUGGUAGGAGCUUCUCACAACAUAGUUGUCAGGUGGUGAUCAGACAAUACUUUUUUGUGUCGAUUUUGUUUUCAGUUCUGCGGUAACUUUAAAUAGGUCUUCAUGACCUUAUAACCAUGGUCAAAGGGCAUAGUUCUGGUGGAGCUUAACAAGGUAGUUUUGGAAACAUGAAAAUCAUUGGAAAUCAAAUUAGUUUCCAUGAAUAUGGUGAUUUUGGUAGCUGUAUUGUAAAAAGUAGCUGCGGAAAUUGAUCGUCAAUAUUAUACAUUUCCUCGGAAAAUGAGUAGGGGUGUUCGGUUAAGAAGAUCUUAAAUGUUGAUAUGAAAACUCCCAUGGAAAUAAGUUAAUGUGGGAAACAAUAGAAAUGUUGAAAGGUCAACAAUUAAUAUACAUUAUUUGUUUUGUAAGUUGAUUUCCAUGGAAAGUUCAAAUGGUCAAUGGUUAAUAAUUAGCGGCAUCUCACGUUAUCGUGGAAAUGCCCAUGGAUUAGCUUUUUGAGAAGAAAUCAAUUUAUUGAUUUUCUGAGAGUUAAACUUAGUAAAUUAGAUUGUGGAAGAUAUGGAGAAGAAGAAAACAGAGAAGAGGAGAAUAUUUUUUUGAAUCUCUCUCCCUCUACUAGCUUUUAUUUGUAGAUCAUUUGUUGCAAUUGAUAAUCCCAAUCAAAGGUACUACCAAAUCUUAAAAGAUACUACCAAUCAAAGAUUUUACCAAGUACCAAAUUCUAAAAGGUACACAUCAAUAUAUGUUGCAUUACAGAGCAUGAAGAUACUGUUCACUCUCACAUGUGUUCCCUCACACGUACUCACAAGUAUGUGUACUUUAACACCGAGGAAAAGUGUAAUAGUGACGGUCAGUUUCUACAACUACAUUUUACAAAGCAAAUAAUGAAAAAAACAUCACCUCUGUGGAAACUAAUUUGGUUUCCAGCAAUUUCCACGUUCCCAAACGCGCCCUAAACUGAUUUCUUUUCAAAAAGCUAAUCCAUGGGCAUUUCUAGGAUAAUGUGAGACACCUCUCUUUUUUAAUCCUUGAUUCUUUAACAUUUCUAUGGAAAUGAAUUUAUAAAACAAAUAAUGUUAUACUGACUAUUGACCUUUCAACAUUUCCACUAUUUUCCAUGUUGACCAUUUUCUAGGGGGCUUUUAUGUCCACAUUUGGGAUUCACCUUACCCAAACAUGCACUAAGCUAGAUGUUGAAACAAAAGUGCAUGAGGAGGAAAUCAAAUGGUGUCAAAGACCUAGAGCAACCUAGCUGAAGUAAAGAGAUGAAAACACCAAGUUUUUUCAUGGGUUUGAGAAUGCAAGAAAAAGAAAAAAUAAGAUCCAGGGCCCAUCAAUUGAUGGAAGAAGGGUGGCAGAUUAAUGUUUUAUUUUACUUGCAGUAAUAGGUUGAGAAUCUUUGGUUGUUGACAUGGCAUGGGGUGAUUGACCCUAGUCAUGAAAGGGAUUCCUUGGUGAAUGAGUAAACAAGAGUAGGAAAAUCUCGCAUAGGAUUAAUUAAUCUCUUGAAGGACACACGGCAAAAACUACUACUAGGACUUUAAAAAUUAGAUGGCGGAAGCCCUUAGAAAGGGUCCAUGUAGGUUGUGGUAGUAGCUUGGAUGUAGUCAAGGGACACCUUUUUAAGGAGCAAUGACGCUCUUGCUAAGGUAGACUACUCCACUUCUACCAUGUGGCAGAAGCUGCGGCUGUCUGGAGCUUAGUUGGGUUUCAGACCUGCCAAGAAUACUCCUUUGGGAGUCUUUGAGCACCGCUUUGUGAGGAGCCUCGCGGGUUCUACCAUGUGGUAGAAGCCAUAUUAUUUAGGCACUAGGUUGUAGUGAAGCAAAAGGUGCAAGCCUUUUUAGGCAUGUGAGUCUUAACUUUGUCAGGAGUGCAUUGUGGCACCAUCCGUAAUCAUGAUGAAGGUUGCCCUGUCUUUGUGGCAGAGGUUGUGGCCUCUUCUGUGAUUUUUCAUUCUCAAACACACACACACACACAUGUAGAGUCUUUGAACUCCAAUAUGGGUCCCACAAAAUCUCAAAAAGAUAGGGAUUGAUUCCCCAUAAAAUCUUAGAAUGAUAGGGAUUGGAUCCCAUUAUUCCAAUUAGUAGUACUUCAAUCCAAAUCAACACAGUAAGACUUGUUCCCAUGAUGACCCAUUGGCUUUGCAUAGCUGUGUUCCCCUCAUAAGAUAUCAUUUGUGGAAGAAAAACAAACUCAUUCAAUCUGGGAUCUGCGUCAAUCAAUCUUCAAGCCCCGAUCUCAUAAUGGUGUACAUGCAUAGAGAGUGAUUGGUAAUAGGGGCCUACAGCAAGUUCUAGUCUAAGAAGAUUGGAUCUGGUGGAUAGAAUGGUGUGGUGAUUUGGACAUUUUGCUGAUAUUAAACUUUUCUGAUCUUUCCAACUACCAUGGAGACCUGUUUUGCAGCUAUGAGAGGAGGUGACGAACUGGGGAAGGCAAUUUCCCAAGAAGAAAAUUGAGGAGGUUGAACAAGUGUUGCGUAAGAGGAAUAACAAUUUUCCUCCAAUUUAGCACAUGGGUAACCAAGGAAGAGUAAAAGAUCUUCCUCUAUCAGCUACAUGAGAAGAAUCACUCGCUGUAGUCAAGUUCUCUCCAACUCAAGGGAAAUGAUACAUGCUGAGGGCCUACGAAUACCCCAUAAGCCCUUGAAGGAACAUCAAAAGAUUGGUUCCAUAGGAAGUGUAGUGGCAAACCCCAUUCAGAAAGCACAUGGAUAACUGAUGAAGACUUGAAAAUGAUCAUCAUUGACUUGUAUAAGGUAUAUAAGGAUUACAACCACUUGUUGUAGUCAAGUUUCCAACUCAGGGGAAAUGAUACAUGUCGAGGGCCUACUGUUACUUCACAUAAGCCCUUGAAGGAACACCAAAAGAUAACCCUCAGGAGCUGUAUUGCAGAAAGAGACAUGGGGAGUUGAUCCUCAUAAUUUGGAGCAUGUCGGCCAACUUGGUUGAUGAGGUCAUCAUGAUGCCAUCUUCUUGGCAAAUGACAAUGUGCCGAUAUCAACAUCCUAGUGAAAUAGAAGGUUUUUAUUUUUUAUUUUUUAUUUUUUUUAUAGAGUUUUUUCCUUCACCUGCACUUUUAUGUGCUCGGAUACUUGACUUUCGAGGAACUGUGCAUCAGAACUCACCUACUUGAUUGUCAAUUUGUGUCAAUAUUCCUCCUCACCUCCUCGAUCAAAGUCCUGUUGGGUCUUGCCCUCAUCAUCCUUUGGGCAAAGGUUCCCCUCCUUAAUAGGGCUCUCUAGUUUUCGUAGCACAUGGUCAAACCAUCUCAAUCUACUCUCCAUUAUUUUUUCUUUUCUUAGGGCUAUGCUUAGGCCACUUUAUGGAAGAUCAGCCACUAUGGAAGAUCUGCUUUGGACAACUUUAUUCUUGCAUAGUCUUCCUAGACAACCAUUUCAUCAUUUUCAUCUCAACAAAGAUACGUUGUUCCUCAAUCUCUGCCCAACGUUCCUUGUCACAACAUGAUCUUAUAGGCCGAUGAUGGCUCAGCUCAAGCCAUACCCCCUGGAGGGUCAUAUAAUAAUCUCCCACAGACCGAUCACCUUGUCGAAAGUGAGCAAUUUCUCUAGUCAACUGAAACAACUUAGCUAUCUUCCUUUUCUGUGAGUAUGAGGAAGCAAUACUCCUAGAUUUCUUUAGUAGUUUCACAGUACAUAAAUGUCCUAACGCUCGUUUAGUAGACAACAAGUGGAGUGCAUAAGCCCAACAGUUACAGGGGUGAGGCCUUACCACACGAGCUUGUAAGUCAAGCACGGAAUGAGCCUUGUCCACGAAGCUUCGCUUCCUCAUCUUGCUUGCUUCUGGCGAAGCUUCUAGUCUGUAGGCAUUCUGGUAUGGUAAGAAUAAUAAUUUGAAGGCCGACCACUACAUAGGAUAGCGAAGCCAAGCCAUUAAAAGGUGAGCAGCCCUUAUAGCAAUAUCAAACAGCCUACUUAUAGCCCUAUUUUUCUUAUUUAGGCACUACUAAAAUAAAUUGACUACAGAAGUACCAAAUGCGACCGGUCCAUGAGACUGCCUUCUUAACAAAAGGCAAAAGGCCCCCUGUUGCUUUUUGAAUAGCCGUCAGGGACCUAUGCUAUGGGAAAGAAAAAUUGGGGUUGUUGUUGGGAGGUCCAAUGCUUACGCUUACCUGAUUUCUGCCUUCAUUGAAUGAAGCAACCAUGGUAUGAUCAUCAUAUUCUCAGCCUCCCAAUUUGUGUGAGAUGGAUCCGGAGAUGAAGUAUCCAAAAUAUUAGCAUCAAGAUACCCCAACUUCCAUUUCGCUCCAAUGAACAAACAUUCUGGCUGACUUGGACCAUUCAAGAUAGUUUUCUCCAUCAAAUUUCAUAGUAGUAAUUUGAAACCCAGCGUGUUCCAAAACACCAGAUCCAGAGACACCCUUUGAAUUUGACAUUAUACUUGAUGAGCUACUUGCAGUAAGAGAAACUUCUUCAUUAGACUUACCAGAUGUCCAUUGCAACCAAUCACCACAAAAAAAAAGAAAAAAAGAAAAAAAGAAAUAAAAAAGAAAAGAAAAGAAAAA